UUUGUACUCCCUCUGUCCAACAAAGGAUGUCUCAAGUUUGACUAAAUGUGAACGCAUGUAUACAUUAAGUCAUGUCUAGAUACAUUCAAAUUUUGAUAAACUUGAGACAUCUUUUGUUGGACGGAGGGAGUAUCAA
rfam:Brachypodium distachyon strain Bd21 chromosome 3, whole genome shotgun sequence.